rnacentral:rRNA from 1 species
UCAAGUGACUAAGUGCAUGUGGCGGAUGCCUUGGCGAUCACAGGCGAAGAAAGACGCGGCAGCCUGCGAAAAGCUGCGGGGAGCUGGCAAACGAGCUUUGAUCCGCAGAUAUCUGAAUGGGGGAACCCACACCGCAAGGUGUAUCCGUAGCUGAAUACAUAGGUUACGGAGGCGAACGAGGAGAACUGAAACAUCUAAGUAUCCUCAGGAAAAGAAAUCAACCGAGAUUCCGGCAGUAGCGGCGAGCGAACCCGGAGGAGCCUAGCUUUUGAUAGUACGAACUUUAGCCGAAAGGUCCUGGAAAGGCCUGCUAUAGUGGGUGAUAGCCCCGUAGGCGAAAGAGUUGGUACGGUACUAAGGAAGCGAGAAGUAGAGCGGGACACGUGGAAUCCUGUUCGAAGACGGGGGGACCAUCCUCCAAGGCUAAAUACUCGUGAUCGACCGAUAGUGAACCAGUACCGUGAGGGAAAGGCGAAAAGAACCCCGGGAGGGGAGUGAAAUAGAACCUGAAACCGCAUGCAUACAAACAGUAGGAGCCUCGUCAGAGGUGACUGCGUACCUUUUGCAUAAUGGGUCAGCGACUUACAUUCUGUGGCGAGCUUAACCGAAUAGGGGAGGCGCAGCGAAAGCGAGUUCGAAAUGAGCGUUCAGUCGCAGGGUGUAGACCCGAAACCAGAUGAGCUAUCCAUGGCCAGGUUGAAGGUGUGGUAACACACACUGGAGGACCGAACCGACUAGUGUUGCAAAAUUAGCGGAUGAGCUGUGGAUAGGGGUGAAAGGCCAAACAAAUCUGGAGAUAGCUGGUUCUCCCCGAAAACUAUUGAGGUAGUGCCUCGUGUGUCGCUCCAGGGGGUAGAGCACUGUUUUGGCUAGGGGGACAUGGAGUCUUACCAAACCAAGGCAAACUCCGAAUACCUGGAAGCGUAAGCACGGGAGACAGAGCACCGGGUGCUAACGUCCGGACUCAAAAGGGAAACAACCCAGACCGCCGGCUAAGGUCCCCAAUAACAGCUAAGUGGAAAACGAAGUGGAAAGGCCGUGACAACCAGGAAGUUGGCUUAGAAGCAGCCAUCCUUCAAAGAAAGCGUAAUAGCUCACUGGUCGAGUCCUUCUGCGCGGAAGAUGUAACGGGGCUAAGCUGUUAACCGAAGCCGCGGAUGCACUGGUUAUCCAGUGCGUGGUAGGGGAGCGUUCUGUAAGUCUGCGAAGGCGGUUCGAGAGGACUGCUGGAGAUAUCAGAAGUGCGAAUGCUGACAUGAGUAACGUUAAAGCAGGUGAAAAGCCUGCUCGCCGUAAGCCCAAGGAUUCCUGCUCUACGUUCAUCGGAGCAGGGUGAGUCGGCUCCUAAGGUCAGGCCGAAAGGCGUAGCCGAUGGGAAUCAGGUUAAUAUUCCUGAACCUGCGUCAGAUGCGAUGGGGGGACGGAGCAUGGAAGAUCAUCCGGGUGUUGGAAGUCCCGGUUGUUGAGCGUAGGAGGUCUGCAGGCAAAUCCGCAGACGCAUCUCCAAGGCAAAGACACGUGCCGCUACGGCGGCGAAGUGAUCGGAAGUGCUUCCAAGAAAAGCCUCUAAGCACCAGUCUGAUGCGGACCGUACCGCAAACCGACACUGGUGGGCGAGCUGAAUAUGCUCAGGCGCUUGAGAGAACUCGGGAGAAGGAACUCGGCAAAUUGACACCGUAACUUCGGAAGAAGGUGUGCCGUAGUACCGUGAGAGGAGAGACACCUUGAGCGGGAAACGGUCUCAGAGAAUAGGUGGCUGCGACUGUUUAUUAAAAACACAGCACUCUGCAAAGUCGAAAGACGACGUAUAGGGUGUGAUGCCUGCCCGGUGCUGGAAGAUUAAUUGAUGGGGUGAGAGCCCUUGAUCGAAGUCCCAGUAAACGGCGGCCGUAACUAUAACGGUCCUAAGGUAGCGAAAUUCCUUGUCGGGUAAG